rnacentral:rRNA from 1 species
AUUGAACGCUGGCGGCAUGCCUUACACAUGCAAGUCGAACGGCAGCAUGGAGGAGCUUGCUCCUCUGAUGGCGAGUGGCGAACGGGUGAGUAAAGCAUCGGAACGUACCGUGUAGUGGGGGAUAACGUAGCGAAAGUUACGCUAAUACCGCAUACGCACUGAGGUGGAAAGCAGGGGAUCGCAAGACCUUGCGCUAUACGAGCGGCCGAUGUCAGAUUAGCUAGUUGGUGGGGUAAAGGCCCACCAAGGCGACGAUCUGUAGCUGGUCUGAGAGGACGACCAGCCACACUGGGACUGAGACACGGCCCAGACUCCUACGGGAGGCAGCAGUGGGGAAUUUUGGACAAUGGGCGCAAGCCUGAUCCAGCAAUGCCGCGUGCAGGAAGAAGGCCUUCGGGUUGUAAACUGCUUUGUACGGAACGAAAAGGUCUGGGUUAAUACCCUGGGCUCAUGACGGUACCGUAAGAAUAAGCACCGGCUAACUACGUG